rnacentral:rRNA from 1 species
CCUGGCUCAGGAUGAACGCUAGCUACAGGCUUAACACAUGCAAGUCGAGGGGCAGCGGGAUUGAAGCUUGCUUCAAUUGCCGGCGACCGGCGCACGGGUGAGUAACGCGUAUCCAACCUUCCGUACACUCAGGGAUAGCCUUUCGAAAGAAAGAUUAAUACCUGAUGGUAUGAUGAGAUUGCAUGAUAGCAUCAUUAAAGAUUUAUCGGUGUACGAUGGGGAUGCGUUCCAUUAGGUAGUAGGCGGGGUAACGGCCCACCCAGCCUACGAUGGAUAGGGGUUCUGAGAGGAAGGCCCCCCACAUUGGAACUGAGACACGGUCCAAACUCCUACGGGAGGCAGCAGUGAGGAAUAUUGGUCAAUGGACGAGAGUCUGAACCAGCCAAGUAGCGUGAAGGAUGAAGGUCUUACGGAUUGUAAACUUCUUUUAUAAGGGAAUAAACCCUCCCACGUGUGGGAGCUUGUAUGUACCUUAUGAAUAAGCAUCGGCUAACUCCGUG